rnacentral:rRNA from 1 species
UACGGGGGGAGCAAGCGUUGUUCGGAUUUACUGGGCGUAGAGGGCGCGUAGGCGGUAGCACAAGUCAGUUGUGAAAUCUCCGGGCUUAACUCGGAAAGGUCAACUGAUACUGUGCGACUAGAGUGCAGAAGGGGCAACUGGAAUUCUCGGUGUAGCGGUGAAAUGCGUAGAUAUCGAGAGGAACACCUGCGGCGAAGGCGGGUUGCUGGGCUGACACUGACGCUGAGGCGCGAAAGCCAGGGGAGCGAACGGG